rnacentral:rRNA from 1 species
UACAGAGGGUGCGAGCGUUGUCCGGAAUCACUGGGCGUAAAGGGCGCGUAGGUGGCCUGGUAAGUAGGGGGUUAAAUCUCGCGGCUCAACUGCGAGGCUGCCUCCUAAACUGUCAGGCUCGAGCAGAGUAGAGGCAGGUGGAAUUCCCGGUGUAGCGGUGGAAUGCGUAGAGAUCGGGAAGAACACCAGUGGCGAAGGCGGCUCACUGGCCCGUUACCGACGCUCAGGCGCGACAGCGUGGGGAGCAAACAGG